CCUACGGGGGGCAGCAGUAGGGAAUAUUGCUCAAUGGGGGAAACCCUGAAGCAGCAACGCCGCGUGGAGGAUGAAGGUUCUCGGAUUGUAAACUCCUUUUGUUAGAGAAGAUAAUGACGGUAUCUAACGAAUAAGCACCGGCUAACUCCGUGCCAGCAGCCGCGGUAAUACGGAGGGUGCAAGCGUUACUCGGAUUCACUGGGCGUAAAGAGCGCGUAGGCGGGAUAGCAAGUCAGAUGUGAAAUCCUAUGGCUUAACCAUAGAACUGCAUUUGAAACUGUUAUACUAGAGUAUGGGAGAGGUAGGUGGAAUUCUUGGUGUAGCAGUAAAAUGCGUAGAGAUCAAGAGGAAUACUCAUUGCGAAGGCGACCUGCUAGAACAUAACUGACGCUGAUGCGCGAAGGCGUGGGGAGCAAACAGGAUUAGAUACCCGAGUAGUC
rnacentral:rRNA from 1 species